AGAGUUUGAUCCUGGCUCAGGAUGAACGCUGGCGGCGUGCCUAACACAUGCAAGUCGAGCGAGAAACCUGCAAUUGAAACUUCGGUAGAUUUUGCGGGCGGAAAGCGGCGGACGGGUGAGUAACGCGUAGGCAACCUGCCCUUUGCAGAGGGAUAGCAACGGGAAACUGUUAUUAAAACCUCAUAAUACCGACAUGUCAAAUGACAAGACGGUCAAAGAUUUAUCGGCAAAGGAUGGGCCUGCGUCUGAUUAGUUAGUUGGUAGGGUAACGGCCUACCAAGGCAGCGAUCAGUAGCCGACCUGAGAGGGUGAUCGGCCACAUUGGAACUGAGACACGGUCCAAACUCCUACGGGAGGCAGCAGUGGGGAAUAUUGCACAAUGGGCGAAAGCCUGAUGCAGCAACGCCGCGUGAGCGAAGAAGGCCUUCGGGUCGUAAAGCUCUGUCCUCAAGGAAGAUAAUGACGGUACUUGAGGAGGAAGCCCCGGCUAACUACGUGCCAGCAGCCGCGGUAAUACGUAGGGGGCGAGCGUUAUCCGGAAUUAUUGGGCGUAAAGAGUACGUAGGUGGUUUUGUAAGCGUGGGGUGAAAGACCGAGGCUUAACUUCGGUUAGCCUUGCGAACUGCAAGACUUGAGUGCAGGAGAGGAAAGUGGAAUUCCUAGUGUAGCGGUGAAAUGCGUAGAUAUUAGGAGGAACACCAGUGGCGAAGGCGGCUUUCUGGACUGUAACUGACACUGAGGUACGAAAGCGUGGGGAGCAAACAGGAUUAGAUACCCUGGUAGUCCACGCUGUAAACGAUGAGCACUAGGUGUCGGGGUCGCAAGAUCUCGGUGCCGCAGUU
rnacentral:rRNA from 1 species